GGUGAACGCUGGCGGUGGGCCUAACACAUGCAAGUCGAACGGCAGCACAGUAAGAGCUUGCUCUUACGGGUGGCGAGUGGCGGACGGGUGAGGAAUACAUCGGAAUCUACUUUUUCGUGGGGGAUAACGUAGGGAAACUUCCGCUAAUACCGCAUACUACCUACGGGUGAAAGCAGGGGAUCUUCGCACCUUGCGCGAUUGAAUGAGCCGAUGUCGGAUUAGCUAGUUGGCGGGGUAAAGGCUCACCAAGGCGACGAUCCGUAGCUGGCCUGAGAGGAUGAUCAGCCACACUGGAACUGAGACACGGUCCAGACUCCUACGGGAGGCAGCAGUGGGGAAUAUUGGACAAUGGGCGCAAGCCUGAUCCAGCCAUACCGCGUGGGUGAUGAAGGCCUUCGGGUUGUAAAGCCCUUUUGUUGGGAAAGAAAAGCAGCAGGUUAAUACCCCGCUGUUCUGACGGUACCCAAAGAAUAAGCACCGGCUAACUUCGUG
rnacentral:rRNA from 1 species